ACUGUCCAUCCCUCGGUUGGUGCGCGUCGUUGGCUCUGCCCUGCCCGAACCCACAUAAACCCCCCCACCUCCACGCCCUUUCAAGUUUCACCGGCUCCCCUCUCUGUCUUCACACCAAACCCUUCGCCCGCUCCUUCUUCUCUCUCUUAUCUUCCCUCCCCUCCUCUCCUCCUCCAGGAAUCAAGAAAAGAGAGCGAGCGAGAACGAGGGGGAGAGAGAGGCGAUUGGGAUGCAAUUGGGGGAGAUGAAGUCCUUGGCGCUGGAUCUGAUGUCGGCGAUCGUGAACGGGAAGUACGACGGGGAUGGGGUGCCGCCGGAGAUCCGGGGGAGUCGGGAGCUGCUGGCGGUGCUAACCACGUCAGUGGCGGUUCUGCUUGGCUGCGUGCUCUUGCUGCUCUGGAGGAGAUCGGGCGGCAAGAAGGCCACCCUCGUGGUCGAGCCCCCGCGGCCACUAGAGUUCAGGGAAGAGACGGAGAACGAGCUUGAUAGCGGGAGAAAGAAGGUCACCGUCUUCUUUGGCACCCAGACCGGCACCGCGGAAGGCUUCGCCAAGGCUUUGGCCGAGGAGGCAAGGGCGCGAUAUGAGAAGGCCAUCUUCAAAGUUGUUGAUCUAGAUGAUUACGCAGCUGAUGACGAUGAGUACGAGGAGAAGAUGAAGAACGAGACGUUGGCGUUGUUCUUCUUGGCAACUUAUGGAGAUGGUGAACCAACGGAUAAUGCUGCUAGGUUCUACAAAUGGUUUACCGAGGGGAAGGAGAGGGGAGUUUGGCUUCAGAAUCUUCAGUAUGCUGUGUUUGGUCUGGGAAACAGACAGUACGAGCAUUUCAAUAAGGUCGGCAAGGUAGUGGAUGAGGCCCUUGCUGAACAAGGUGGGAAGCGCCUAGUUCCGUUGGGCCUCGGAGAUGAUGAUCAAUGCAUUGAGGAUGACUUUACUGCAUGGAAGGAGCUGGUGUGGCCAGAGUUGGAUCAACUGCUUCGAGAUGAAGAUGAUGCACCAGGGGCAUCUAACCAUUACACUGCUGCCAUACCGGAAUACCGGGUUGUGUUUCUUGAAAGAACAGAUGCAUCACAUAUGGAGAGGAACUGGAGUCUUGCCAAUGGCCAUGCUGUUCAUGACCUUCAACAUCCUUGCAGAGCUAAUGUGGCUGUGCGGCAGGAGCUACAUACCCCAGCUUCUGAUCGUUCCUGCAUUCAUCUCGAGUUUGACAUUUUUGGAACUGGGCUUGGGUAUGAAACUGGAGACCAUGUUGGUGUUUUUUCCGAGAAUGGUGUUGAGACUGUGGAGGAGGCUGAAAGGCUAUUAGGCUAUUCAUCAGAUACAUUCUUCUCCAUACAUGCAGACAAAGAGGAUGGCACACCAUUAAGUAGCAGCUCUCUAGCGCCUCCUUUCCCAUCUCCAUGCACUUUGAGAACAGCUCUUGCUCGAUAUGCAGACCUACUAAAUUCACCGAAAAAGGCUGCUUUAGUUGCUCUAGCUGCUUAUGCUUCUAAUCCGAGCGAAGCUGAACGAUUAAGAUAUCUAGCUUCUCCUGCAGGAAAGGAUGAAUAUUCCCAAUGGGUAGUUGCAAGUCAGAGGAGCCUUCUUGAAGUUAUGGCAGAAUUUCCUUCAGCCAAACCUCCUCUAGGUGUGUUUUUUGCAGCUAUAGCUCCUCGCUUGCAACCUCGAUAUUACUCUAUAUCAUCUUCUCCAAGGAUGGUACCUUCUAGAAUUCAUGUCACAUGUGCAUUGGUGCAUGGACCAACACCAACAGGAAGGAUUCACAAGGGAGUUUGUUCAACCUGGAUGAAGAACUCAGUUCCAUUGGAAGACAGCCAAGAAUGUAGCUGGGCUCCUAUUUUCGUCAGACAAUCAAAUUUUAAAUUGCCUGCAGAUACAUCCAUACCAAUUAUCAUGAUUGGUCCUGGCACAGGUUUGGCACCCUUUAGGGGCUUCCUGCAGGAAAGGUUGGCAUUGAAAGAAUCUGGAGCUGAACUUGGCCCUGCUAUUUUCUUCUUUGGAUGCAGGAACCGUAAAAUGGUAGCUAUGACUUCAUUUAUGAGGAUGAGCUGAACAAUUUUGUAAAAGCAGGAGCACUGUCUGAGUUAAUUGUUGCCUUCUCUCGUGAAGGUCCAGCCAAAGAAUAUGUGCAGCACAAGAUGGCUGAAAAGGCUGUGGACAUUUGGGAUAUCAUCUCGAAGGGUGGUUAUAUAUAUGUGUGUGGUGAUGCUAAAGGCAUGGCUAGAGACGUCCACCGAGUUCUUCACACCAUAGUUCAAGAGCAGGGUUCUCUGGAUAGCUCUAAGGCUGAGAGCAUGGUGAAAAAUCUGCAAAUGGAAGGGAGGUACUUGCGUGAUGUAUGGUGAGCUUCCCUUGAAAGAGAAAGGGCUUCCAGUGGAUUGUCUUUGGCCAGAAUUUAUGCAGGAAUUUGAAACUCAGAAUGAGUUUCCAGUGGGUGGCACUUGACCGUGCUCCUAUUUUACACAUCUGGAAGUGCAUAUUGUCUUUUGGCCAUGAUUCUUUUGAUCAUCUAACAAGGGUUUUGCUGUGUUUUAUGUAUGUAUAAUCAAUUUUUCAUUAGGCUUAUUCGUUGAAGGAAUAAGAGAGAACUCUAUCUAGUUGAAAGAGCCGUCAGGUUCGAAUGUGGAAAACUUUUCUGUCGGCCUUUAGCAAUUAUUUAUAAUGCCAUCAAUUUUACUAUGAGAUCAUCCAGAUAAAGAAAUGUCGAUGA